rnacentral:rRNA from 1 species
AUUGAACGCUGGCGGCAUGCCUUACACAUGCAAGUCGAACGGCAGCACGGGUGCUUGCACCUGGUGGCGAGUGGCGAACGGGUGAGUAAUACAUCGGAACAUGUCCUGUAGUGGGGGAUAGCCCGGCGAAAGCCGGAUUAAUACCGCAUACGAUCUACGGAUGAAAGCGGGGGACCUUCGGGCCUCGCGCUAUAGGGUUGGCCGAUGGCGGAUUAGCUAGUUGGUGGGGUAAAGGCCUACCAAGGCGACGAUCAGUAGCUGGUCUGAGAGGACGACCAGCCACACUGGGACUGAGACACGGCCCAGACUCCUACGGGAGGCAGCAGUGGGGAAUUUUGGACAAUGGGCGAAAGCCUGAUCCAGCAAUGCCGCGUGUGUGAAGAAGGCCUUCGGGUUGUAAAGCACUUUUGUCCGGAAAGAAAACCUUGGCUCUAAUACAGUCGGGGGAUGACGGUACCGGAAGAAUAAGCACCGGCUAACUACGUG